GUAAAGUGACUAGACAUCAGGAUAGAUAAUAAGGUAUUUGAGGUAGAUAUGUACAUGAAGGCAGGGUAAAGUGACUAGACAUCAGGAUAGAUAAUAAUAAGGUAUUUGAGGUAGAUAUGUACAUGAAGGCAGGGUAAAGUGACUAGGCAUCAGGAUAGAUAAUAAUAAGGUAUUUGAGGUAGAUAUGUACAUGAAGGCAGGGUAAAGUGAAUAGACAUCAGGAUAGAUAAUAAUAAGGUAUUUGAGGUAGAUAUGUACAUGAAGGCAGGGUAAAGUGACUAGGCAUCAGGAUAGAUAAUAAUAAGGUAUUUGAGGUAGAUAUGUACAUGAAGGCAGGGUAAAGUGACUAGGCAUCAGGAUAGAUAAUAAUAAGGUAUUUGAGGUAGAUAUGUACAUGAAGGCAGGGUAAAGUGACUAGACAUCAGGAUAGAUAAUAAUAAGGUAUUUGAGGUAGAUAUGAACAUGAAGGCAGGGUAAAGUGACUAGACAUCAGGAUAGAUAAUAAUAAGGUAUUAGAGGUAGAUAUGUCCAUGAAGGCAGGGUAAAGUGACAGAGACAGACAGAGAUAGUGACAGACAGCGAGAGAGAGAGUUUUGAAACACACAACACCUCCCCUACCUGCAGGAUGUUUCUCUGUAUAGCCAUGCCCUUGGCCCCGCCCCCAAUAGAGGACAUUUCCAACAUGGCCGCUAUGCUCCUCACGCUGCCAGCGCUCCCCGUAUCCACGACGACCGUCUCCACGGAUACACCCAGGUCGCUGGC